CAACAGGGAUUGCCUCAGUAACUGCGAGUGAANCGGCAAAAGCUCAAAUUUGAAAUCUGACGUCUUUGGCGUUCGAAUUGUAAUUUGGAGGGGCAUUUUCGGAGCUGGCGUCGUCCUAAGUUCCUUGGAACAGGACGUCACAGAGGGUGAGAAUCCCGUGCCUGGAUGGAUGUCCAGCUCCAUGUGAGGUGUCUCCGACGAGUCGAGUUGUUUGGGAAUGCAGCUCAAAAUGGGUGGUAAAUUUCAUCUAAAGCUAAAUACUGGCGAGAGACCGAUAGCGCACAAGUAGAGUGAUCGAAAGAUGAAAAGCACUUUGAAAAGAGAGUUAAAAAGUACGUGAAAUUGUUGAAAGGGAAGCGCUUGAGACCAGACUCAACCUUCGGUGAUCAGCUGCGCUUCUGUGCGGUGCACUUGCCGUGGGUUGGGCCAGCAUCGGUUUUGACGGUGGGAUAAAGGUUCGAAGAAUGUGGCUCCCCGAUCCGGGGAGUGUAUACCCUGANCGCAAUGCCCCCUGUUGGGAACGAAGAACGCCCCUCCCCCUAGGAUGCUGGCGCCAUGGUCU
rnacentral:rRNA from 1 species